GAGUAACACGUGGGUAACCUGCCCAUCAGAGGGGGAUAACACUUGGAAACAGGUGCUAAUACCGCAUAAUAGUCGACAUCGCAUGGUGUUGAUUUGAAAGACGCUUUCGGGUGUCACUGAUGGAUGGACCCGCGGUGCAUUAGCUAGUUGGUGAGGUAACGGCUCACCAAGGCGAUGAUGCAUASCCGACCUGAGAGGGUGAUCGGCCACACUGGGACUGAGACACGGCCCAGACUCCUACGGGAGGCAGCAGUAGGGAAUCUUCSGCAAUGGACGAAAGUCUGACCGAGCAACGCCGCGUGAGUGAAGAAGGUUUUCGGAUCGUAAAACUCUGUUGUUAGAGAAGAACAAGUAGGAGAGUAACUGCUCUUACCUUGACGGUAUCUAACCAGAAAGCCACGGCUAACUACGUGCCAGCAGCCGCGGUAAUACGUAGGUGGCAAGCGUUGUCCGGAUUUAUUGGGCGUAAAGCGAGCGCAGGCGGUUUCUUAAGUCUGAUGUGAAAGCCCCCGGCUCA
rnacentral:rRNA from 1 species